GAAAUGCGAUAAGUAGUGUGAAUUGCAGAAUUCAGUGAAUCAUCGAAUCUUUGAACGCACAUUGCGCCCCUUGGUAUUCCAUGGGGCAUGCCUGUUCGAGCGUCAUUUGUACCCUCAAGCUCUGCUUGGUGUUGGGUGUUUGUCCCGUCUCCGCGCGUGGACUCGCCCCAAAGUGAUUGGCAGCCGGCGUACUGGUCCCGGAGCGCAGCACAUGUCGCGCAAACGAGUGCCUUGGUACGGUGGCGUCCAUAAGCCCCUCUCUCACGCUCUUGACCUCGGAUCAGGUAGGGAUACCCGCUGAACUUAAGC
rnacentral:misc_RNA from 1 species